GCACUUUUUCCGCACUCCGGCACCCUCCCGCCUGUAGAUUUGGGCCUUUUCUCACACCAGGGACUGGCAGAGCGCGCAGGCGCGGUGCACACAAGGCCGUGGAGCAGACGUUAGUAAAUUUGGCCAUUGCUUUUUGCUCAUUUUGUUCAAGUCUUUGUUUGAGACAAGAAGAACCUGGAAUCUAACUCCAGACGGAGAGGCAAGCAACCCAGAACCCAGUAACAUUUAGUUGGCGAGCCACUUUUAGAAGCAAGCUACCGGAUAACAGGUUUGCUGACUCCCGUCACGGAAAAAGAACUUUCAGGACUUAAUUCAUUCUUUGGUUUUGGAGAACUUGAACUUGGCGUAUGAGACAUCUAACAGGCAGGCAGAGGAACCACUGAGCUAAAUCCCCAGCCCUGCAAGUAAAAGUUAAUGAGCAGAC
rnacentral:lncRNA from 1 species